UGGGGAAUAUUGGACAAUGGGCGAAAGCCUGAUCCAGCAAUACCGCGUGUGUGAAGAAGGCCUUAGGGUUGUAAAGCACUUUCAAUAGGGAGGAAAAAGGUAAGCUUAAUACGUUUGCCCUUGACAUUACCUAUACAAGAAGCACCGGCUAACUCCGUGCCAGCAGCCGCGGUAAUACGGAGGGUGCAAGCGUUAAUCGGAAUUACUGGGCGUAAAGCGUGCGUAGGCGGCCUGUUAAGUCAGAUGUGAAAGCCCCGGGCUCAACCUGGGAACUGCAUUUGAAACUGGCAAGCUAGAGUUGGGUAGAGGGGAGUGGAAUUUCAGGUGUAGCGGUGAAAUGCGUAGAUAUCUGAAGGAACACCAGUGGCGAAGGCGGCUUCCUGGACCAAUACUGACACUGAGACGCGAAAGCGUGGGGAGCAAACAGGAUUAGAUACCCACGUAGUCCCUGAGCGGGCUGGCAAGGCGCAU
rnacentral:rRNA from 1 species